rnacentral:rRNA from 1 species
AGUCGAACGGCAGCACGGGCUAGUUUACUAGUUGGGUGGCGAGUGGCGAACGGGUGAGUAACGCGUAGGAAUAUGCCUUAAAGAGGGGGAUAACUUGGGGAAACCCAAGCUAAUACCGCAUAAUAUCCGAGGAUAAAAGCUGGGGACCUUCGGGCCUGGCGCUUUAAGAUUAGCCUGCGUCCGAUUAGCUAGUUGGUGGGGUAAGGGCCUACCAAGGCGACGAUCGGUAGCUGGUCUGAGAGGAUGGCCAGCCACACUGGGACUGAGACACGGCCCAGACUCCUACGGGAGGCAGCAGUGGGGAAUAUUGGACAAUGGGGGGAACCCUGAUCCAGCAAUGCCGCGUGUGUGAAGAAGGCCUGAGGGUUGUAAAGCACUUUCAGUGGGGAGGAGGGUUGAUAGGUUAAGAGCUGAUUAACUGGACGUUACCCACAGAAGAAGCACCGGCAAACUCCGUGCCAGCAGCCGCGGUAAUACGGAGGGUGCGAGCGUUAAUCGGAAUUACUGGGCGUAAAGGGUGCGUAGGUGGUUUAAUAAGUUAACUGUGAAAGCCCUGGGCUCAACCUGGGAAAGUCAGUUAAGACUGUUAUGACUCGAGUAUGGGAGAGGGUAGUGGAAUUCCCGGUGUAGCGGUGAAAUGCGUAGAGAUCGGAAGGAACACCAGUGGCGAAGGCGGCUACCUGGCCUAAUACUGACACUGAGGCACGAAAGCGUGGGUAGCAAACAGGAUUAGAUACCCUGGUAGUCCACGCUGUAAACGAUGUCAACUAGCUGUUGGUCAUAUAGAAGUGAUUAGUGGCGCAGCAAACGCGAUAAG